rnacentral:rRNA from 1 species
CCUACGGGAGGCAGCAGUGAGGAAUAUUGGUCAAUGGCCGGAAGGCUGAACCAGCCAAGCCGCGUGAAGGACGAAGGUGUCAAGCAUUUUAAACUUCUUUUGUCAAGGGACAAAAUCAGGCUCGAGAGCCUGACCGAGGUUACUUGAAGAUAAAGCAUCGGCUAACUUCGGGCCAGCAGCCGCGGGAAGACGGAGGAUGCGAGCGUUAUCCUGAUUUAUUGGGCGUAAAGGGCUCGUAGGCGGGUCGUCGGGUACGGUGUGAAAGUCCAUCGCUUAACGGAGGAUCCGCGCCGGGUACGGGCGGGCUUGAGUGCGGUAGGGGAGACUGGAAUUCCAGGUGUAGCGGUGGAAUGUGUAGAUAUCGGGAGGAACACCAGUGGCGAAGGCAGGUCUCUGGGCCGUUACUGACGCUGAGGAGCGAAAGCGUGGGGAGCGAACAGGAUUAGAUACCCUUGUAGUC